UACGGGGGGAGCAAGCGUUGUUCGGAUUUACUGGGCGUAAAGGGCGCGUAGGCGGCGCAACAAGUCACUUGUGAAAUCUCCGGGCUUAACCCGGAGCGGCCAAGUGAUACUGUCGUGCUAGAGUGCGGAAGGGGCUACUGGAAUUCUCGGUGUAGCGGUGAAAUGCGUAGAUAUCGAGAGGAACACCUGCGGCGAAGGCGGGUUGCUGGGCUGACACUGACGCUGAUGCGCGAAAGCCAGGGGAGCGAACGGG
rnacentral:rRNA from 1 species